rnacentral:lncRNA from 1 species
AACCAGAAAAAGCGUUUUUAUUUUUUGGAUUCCUAACAAUGUUGUACUUUUUCCGUUCUAGCAGAAGUCUGGAACUUCUGAAGCUGAAAUGCACAAAGAGAAAGAGAAGAUGAGACUAGAUGACGAUUAUAACUUCUUAUGGCUUCAGUGAGAAGACACAAAGAGCAGAAUAAAGUUCCUCCAUAGAUACAGUCCAGGAGUGCCUUGUGAGAACUGCCAAACCUUAUACAUCUUUGAGGUGGGAAAGAGGGGAAGAGAAAUGGCAUUUGACAAAAGGAUCACUCUGGAGACUCUGUGAAUCACAGCAUCUACAGGGAGGACCAGGGAUGGAGAAAGUGGCAGAUCAGAAGAUGCUGGAAUUGGUGAAAGGGAGCUCAACACAGGAAAGGAGGCAACUCAAGGAGGAAAAGCAUUACAGUAUUUUGUAGGAACAUCAGGGAAGAAGCUGGAAAAUCUGGAGGAAGCUGGAGAAUGUUGAGUCUAAGCUGAGGAAGAAGAGACACUGCAGAAAAACAAAUGCUUUCUGAGGUGAGGAGAACUUACUGACCUGUUUAUUUUUACAUCCACGAGGAAUAUGAUGCUACUGCUGUCACUGCUACUUUUGGUACUGACAUGAUACAGUAGUAAUGGGAGCAAAAGUAGGUGUCAGACUUGAAACAAAACAAAGAACACAACAGCUUUCAUUCAUAUCUCUAGAGUCCCCAGCAAGCAAAACUAUUUUGUUAAUAUUUUAUUGUUAUUAGUCAUAAGUUCAGCAAGGGA